CUCAGCUUGGUUGUGUACAGGGUCUCAUUGUCUUUCAGAUGCUCCCUCUGCAGGAUCUGAGGGCCCCUUCCCUGUGCCCAUCCAGAAUAAUUGGCAAAUCCCUGGUCUGGCAAGAAAAGGGCUGGGGGUGGCAGUGUCUGGGAUCAAUCUGCCAUGAAUAGCAAGGGACAGCUGUACUCCGUGUGUGCUUGGCUGGCUAACACAGGAAUAUAAUUUAGCAAAGAACUCUCUUCUCCACCAGAGAAGACUCACACCCAUGAAGAAUGAAGAUUGAAGAUUUGAAGAUUUUUCUUGUAGUAUAGUAACUUUGUGUUAACCUAUUUCCCAUCUCCCAUUACACUGUGAUUUCCUUGGGGUAGCCUGUUAUCAGCCAAUGCCAUGUGGGGCAGAAGAACUGCCCAUCUGAGCCCUGCCUGAAUUCCUGAACCAUAAAAUCAUAUUAAAAAUGAUUUGUAAUUGAAUAAUUGAUUGAAUGAGGGAAUGGACAUUAAACUGAGGAUUACCUGGAAAAUCUGAUUUAUUAUCUGAUUUCUACCAAUGGGACCCAGGGUCAAUGGCUGGAGGAAGCUUUUAACAUCCUACCAAUUCAAAGGGACUCCUGUCUUGGUGAGAGCCUCCAAAUGGGUUGAUUGAGAAUUCAGUGCAACUUAGCAAGUAUAAGAAUCCACGUACAGUGGAGGGGUCCCUGCUCUAAAACUCCCACCACAUUGGGCCCGCAGUCCCCCAGACCAAUAUUUGUGAUUGCAAAACCACUGCUCCUAUUAUUAGCAUGACUGGCUCUGUCACCACAGUCAGGUCCUCCCUGACUUGGGCCCUCUCUGGGUUAACUUCUCCCUCCUUAGGUCCCAGCAUCCUGUGUCCUCACCCUGGAGAGCAUAUGCUACAAUACCUUAAAAUUUCUCACCACCUUCUUGGCCUCUACUGCUGGUCUGAGUGGUGGCCAUCUUCAGAUCUCCUUUGGCACCCAGUACCCCACAUGUUUUAGGGAUGAGGGAGAAGAAGCAGGGGGUGCCAGAGCUCAGCUUCAGCUCUUCCUGGCAGGGAACUGGAGCUCGAGACUGAAAUGUAUUUUGUUACUUUAUUUAUUCAGAGAUGGAGUCUCGCUCUCUCACCCAGGCUGGAGUGCAAUGGCGCAAUCUUGGCUCACUGCAACCUCUGCCUCUGAGGCUCAAGCGAUUCUCCUCCCUCACCCUCCUGAGUAGGUGGGAUUACAGGGGCCUGCCACCAUGCCCAGCUACAAUUUUUUUUUUUGUUUUAUUUUCUAGGGGAGAUGGGGUUUCACCACGUUGGCCAGGCUGGUUUCAAACUCGUGACCUCAAGUAAUCCGCCUGCCUUAGCCGCCCAAAGUGCUGGGAUUGCAGGCAUGAGCAGCCGAGUCUGGCCUAUUUUGUUACUUUAACUUAUUAUGAAAGUUUCCUAAUGCACAUGAAAGUAGGUGAGAAUCAAAAUUAAACUUUCAUGUAUCUUCGUCUAGUUUCACUAAUUAUCAACAUUCUGACAUUCUCACUUUGUCUACCAUGUACUUUUGGCUAGAAUAUUUAAAAAAUAAAUGACCAGUAUCAUAUGACUUACCCGUAAACACUUCAAAAUAUGAGCUUGAGAUGUAGAAUCACUGAUUUUGGGGUUAAAUGAACCUCAAAAGUCCUCCUGUGUUCAAAUGGGCCUGGGCUUGGAAGCUCUGCAGUGGGUGCCCGGCUCUUGGAGACCCCGGCCACAGCGGGAGGGGGAUACAACGUGGAUGCUGGAAUCAGCUCUCUGCCUGGAUCCUGGGAAAACGCCCCCUGGAGUGAUUGGCUUAGUUCUUCUUGGGCCCAUCACAGUUCAUCCAAGUAAUCCACUUGCUUCCUGUUCUCCAACUCCUCUGUCACGUGCAG
rnacentral:lncRNA from 1 species